rnacentral:lncRNA from 1 species
CAAUAUAUAUUUUCCGAAGGCAACCAAUAUAUAUUUUGUGAAGGCAACCAAUAUAUAUUUUCUGAAGGCAACCGUGGGAUAGAGGAAAACUAGCCAACCACCCAUGCAGACAAAUUGAGUAGGUGGCUGGGGAAAGAUCCUGGGCGGACACCUGCAGAGUAAACUCAAUGUAGGUUCAGGCAAUACACUGGUCGGAACUUACAGAGUAAUCUCUAUGUAGGUAUAGGCAAGGCAACUUGUGAAUGGGAAACUGUCCAACCACCCGUAUAGACAAAUCAGGCAGGUGGCUAGGAAAAGAUCAUGGCCGGACACCUGCAGAGUAAACUCAAUGCAGGUAUAGGCAAUACACUAGUCGGACACCUACAGAGUAAUCUCCAUGUAGGUAUAGGCAAACCACUGGUCAGACACUUGCAGUAUGGCCUAACUACAGGUACAGGCAAUACACUGGUUUGACUCCUACCACCGUAGGUACAGGAAAUAUUCAAUCAUAUGCACAGACUUUACCGAAGGCAAUUGUAUUCCCCAAAAUCCUUUCUCACUUUUCCUAGAACUUUAACUUACAUUAACAACCCCAAAUCCCAUCCAUCCCAACUCAAACUAAACCAGGCUACUCCAACCAUUUAUAACCCAUAAGCAAUACCUUUCCAGAUUUGUUCCCAACUGAAUUUGAACACGUAUAAUAUACUAAUCCGAGACUGGUAUUCAUACUUCAAUAAUUC